CCAGCAAGUGCGGAGCUGUGAACUCAUCACUCCAGCACAAGGUUCCAUUCUCCAGGGCAGCCAGGCACAGCUACAGGCUGGUGCCAAGGGCUGUGACUGCCUCUGUCUCAUUCACUGCUCUCCAUCCCUCCCCAAGGUGAGCUCUAAUCCUCAGGGAGAUAUCAGGAUAUCUGAUUUAUGCAAGAAUCUGUAAUAAACUGGCAACAGUUAUGUCUGUAGCUAAUGGGAAUGUAAAUUUUCAGAUAACAUAUGUUAGUAAUGAUAAGCAAAACCUCUGAUAAGAACACCCCCCCACCAGAGAAGAAAACUCAGCUCUGCUUACUGCAGUGAUGCUGCCCCUUGCUGUCAGGAGCUUCCCUGAAGGAUGAAUUUGUGGUGUAGAAGUGGCUACUGAGACUGAAAGUGUCUGUCUUGACAGAGACCUUGUUCUUCUCAAGCAGACAGCCGAAACGCUGAUCUGAUCCUGCAGAACAUCGUGGCACCAGUGGCUCCCAGCCUGCAGAGACCCGGUGCUCGAGGAAGGGCAAGGGGUUGGCCAUGGCUGUCUGCACGGUGACACCACGGAGUGUUUGUCCCCAGCCUGGGAGAGAAGCAGACAUGUGCUCUCUGGAGGUGGGCACAGAGGAGCAGCACCCACAGAGAAUGGGAUUGUUUGAUCUAGAGCCCUUUUCUGAGCGGGGACAGCUGCAGCUGGGAGGCCUGACAGGGUGACACCCCAGCAGCAACCAGGCCGUGAGAUGGGCUCCGCCAGCGAGAGGCACAGACGGACUGACUGACAGGCCCUAAUUAUACCGGCGAGGCCACGCCCAUGGGAGGAGCCAAUGUACAUAAUUGGGCAAGCCAGAGGCUAUAUACAGGCUGCUCAUGAAUAUUAAUGCAACUGUUGCAACCUUGGGCCUAUAAAAGGCUGAGAUGUCAUUUUUGUGAGCUGAGCCUCUGGUGGGCAGAAGGAGCCCCAUGGAGCUCCCAGCGCCAUCUCCCUUCUGCUUUGUGUUUUUAAUUGGUUCUUAAUAAAACUUUUAUUACCCAUUC